UUUUUUUUUUUUGAUAGAAUCUUGAAGUGGUUCAUCUCUAGUUUUUGGAUUUUUUCCAUCUGGGUUUUAGACAUGAAAUUAGUGCUUAAAAAUGUUGAUUAUGUUUUCCAUAGGAAGGUUAUUAAGGUUGCACUGCAUCUUUGCAAUCCAGCUUCUGAUUCUCUCUCAUAGUAUCUCUGCUGGUGUUGGGUGGUUUUAUACAAUUUAGUUCCUAUAGAGCAUUCUCUUCUGGGUGGUAUGCAACGUGUUGACCAUCUAAGCUAUUGAUGAUCUCCAAAUAAUAGUAUUUAUAUCUUGAGAUACGUAACCAACGAAAGAAGACACAAACCUCUCUUUCAAACUCUCUCUCUCUCUCUCUCUCUGUGUUCAACGAUUGAGCUCUCUAAUCUCCAUAUUUCAAUUGCAGGUUUUUCUUCUUUUAUCUUUAAAACCAAUUUAUGCCUUUCGAUUUCAUUUUCUUUUGCAUCUACACUUAAUUAAUUAAUCAAAACAUUGAUGCUCGGCAAAAAACACUAUCAACUCACAUUUCUAUUGAAAUUUAGGUAGGUUAGAUGCGACAUUAUCUUGUUCUUUUGUUCAGUUAUAACUGUAAACUUGUUUUUAGUUCUACUUUGGCAUAGAAUUCGACAUGGAACCAUUAAAAAUGCCAUUUCCCACAUUCAAUUAAAACCAAGGGUUUGUGAAAUAUUUGAUUUCAUUUUAUGUAACUUAACCAUGAGCUCUCCCCUUCGUUUGUAGUAAGAAAUAGGGUGUGAUGUGAUCACCCCUUUUAUCACCUAGCUACUAAGCAUAGUGGCCCUAUGAGUUUUAGUUCCAAUAUCUCUGCCUCGUUGAAAUUGAUAAAUUCCGUACCCUCUAAUCUUGAAUAGCUGUCAUUGAAGUCAGAUUGACAACCGGUCUCAAUUAUGACUGCAGAUUGACAACCGGUGUCUCAACUAUGAAAUUGAGCAUAGAUAUCAGAAGUACCAACUAGCUACAUUGUCUUUGACAGAAUCUGUGAGUGCCUGAGUGGGAGUACCGGUUGUGAUACUUUUUAUCGCUUAAUUUAUUACUCAGUUUGGACAUUGAAUAGCAAUUGUAAUGUUUCUCACUCUGUCAAAGUUUGAAUUUCUGCACAUAGUUGUCAUUUUCUGUUGAAAGGACUCCUAUCAUCAUUCGAUAUAAUAUAUUGUUAUAGUUGUCCACUGGUUUGAGACCUUAAAUGCUUGGAAAUGCCGAACCUAUAUGAACUCUAUUUUGUUAUAUUCUCAACUCAUUCAAAUUGGAAUAGACUCUGACAGAGUCUUUUCGGCAAUAUGAUAUCUGUUUUAUCCAUUAUCGUCUGAAAAAUCUAUUUGACCCUGGCAUGAAUCAGAGAACGUGCAUACAUACAUAUAUAUAUAUAUAUAUUUAUCUGGGGAUGAAAUUGAUUGCACACCAUGUGGGUAGAGGAAAACAUUAGCUGGCUCAUUCAAAUAUUAGAAGUCAUAUGUACGGUGGACAACCUAGUUCGAAAAUAUUUUGUGGGUUUGAUUGUAGGUGGACUGCCUAUUUAGUCUAUGUGAAUUGAGUGGGCAAGUUGCUUUUAUUUGGCUCAUCCACCUUAUCAUUUGACAAGUAUCUUGUUCAAGCCAAGGCAGAUUACGAUUCUUGCUUUAAAUUUCUUUUUUGUAGGUGCAUAUAACACAUUAAGUCUUGUAUGAUGUAGAGUAGGAAGAUGAUUUAUAAAUUCAAGACCAGCCCUGAUUUGCUGAUUCAUGUUACAAAAGUCCAGCUUAUGUUCUCAGCGAAUUGGGUUAAACUCAUAGGCUUGCUGACUACUUUCGAAAAUUUAUGGUUGCAGAUAAUCAGAUACCAGAAGAAAUGGAUGUAAAACCUACAGUCGCUCUGAGAGCUUUAUUUGUAGGUGGACUAGCAGCAUUUGCCAAAGUGGCGGGUGCGUUGAAAGCUGCUGGCGGGGUAAAGGUGGGGGCAGCAGCGGCUGCCAUGACUGCUGCAGCAACUGCUGCAGUUUCUGGAUCUAAACAAAAUGAGCCUCCUAAAAAGCCUUCCCAAUAAGUUAUAAGACAAGCACGUCUUGUUGUUGGACAACAAAACAUGUAGUAUAUUGGUGUUUCUCACCAAACUGACUGCAAAUGAUAUGUUUUUGUUUGAACUGUAAUUUUUGCUGUAACAGGGAAAAUAAGCAAAUUCGAAAUAAAGGAUGGUUUUGUUUGGUCGAUUCUAGACGGUAGCUUUACAAUAACA
rnacentral:lncRNA from 1 species